UGUUGACCUCGGAUCAGGUAGGAAUACCCGCUGAACUUAAGCAUAUCUAAA
rnacentral:rRNA from 1 species